UACGUAGGGUGCAAGCGUUAAUCGGAAUUACUGGGCGUAAAGCGUGCGCAGGCGGUGAUGUAAGACAGGUGUGAAAUCCCCGGGCUUAACCUGGGAACUGCAUUUGUGACUGCAUCGCUGGAGUGCGGCAGAGGGGGAUGGAAUUCCGCGUGUAGCAGUGAAAUGCGUAGAGAUCGGGAGGAACAUCUGUGGCGAAGGCGGCCACCUGGACCAACACUGACACUGAGGCACGAAAGCGUGGGGAGCAAACAGG
rnacentral:rRNA from 1 species